rnacentral:rRNA from 1 species
UACGAAGGGGGCUAGCGUUGUUCGGAAUCACUGGGCGUAAAGCGCACGUAGGCGGAUCUUUAAGUCAGGGGUGAAAUCCCGAGGCUCAACCUCGGAACUGCCUUUGAUACUGGGGAUCUCGAGUUCGGGAGAGGUGAGUGGAACUGCGAGUGUAGAGGUGAAAUUCGUAGAUAUUCGCAAGAACACCAGUGGCGAAGGCGGCUCACUGGCCCGAUACUGACGCUGAGGCACGAAAGCGUGGGGAGCAAACAGG